AACUUUGACUUACGUGCCAUUUAUAGUGAAGUCAGGUAAUUAAUCUAAAGUAGUUAACAGGAAAAUUGGCGGUGAAAGAGAUGGACGCAUAUGGUGCAGCGGGUGCAAUCGCCGAAGAGGUGCUGACAGCAAUCCGUACGGUGGUCGCAUUCGGCGGCCAAGAGAAGGAGAUCGCGAGAUACUCCGAUCGCUUAACGUUCGCCCGAAAUAACAACAUCAAGCGAUCGCUGCUGAGCGGUAUUGGUUUCGGACUGUUGUAGUUCUUCAUCUACGCCAGUUACGCGUUGGCGUUUUGGUACGGUAUCAAGCUAAUUUUGGAGGAGAAGUCGCUUCCGCCGCAGGAGCGAGUCUACGAUCCCGGCAACAUGGUCACGGUGUUCUUCGCUGUAAUGCAAGGGAGUGUUAAUUUCGGCAUGUCGUCACCGUACAUCGAACAGUUCGGCAUAUCCAAGGGGGCGGCUACCAAAAUUUUUGCAGUCAUCGAUAGUGCCCCUGUUAUAAACGCCGCCAAGAACGUGGGGCUCUAACCGAAGGAAGUUAAGGGAGACUUUAGCUUUCGGAAGGUUCACUUCGAGUACCCUUCGCGAAAGGGCGUCAAGGUCUUGAAAGGUAUCGACAUUGAGAUUAAGUCUGGGGAGACGGUUGCGCUGGUCGGCAGUUCCGGGUGCGGUAAAUCGACUUGCAUUCAGCUGUUACAGCGGUUUUAUGAUCCAACAUC